rnacentral:rRNA from 1 species
ACGCUAGCUACAGGCUUAACACAUGCAAAGUCGAGGGGAAACGGCAUUGAGUGCUUGCACUUUUUGGACGUCGACCAGCGCACGGGUGAGUAACGCGUAUCCAACCUUCCCAUUACUGUGGGAUAACCUGCCGAAAGGCAGACUAAUACCGCAUAGUCUUCGAUGACGGCAUCAGAUUUGAAGUAAAGAUUUAUCGGUAAUGGAUGGGGAUGCGUCUGAUUAGCUUGUUGGCGGGGUAACGGCCCACCAAGGCAACGAUCAGUAGGGGUUCUGAGAGGAAGGUCCCCCACAUUGGAACUGAGACACGGUCCAAACUCCUACGGGAGGCAGCAGUGAGGAAUAUUGGUCAAUGGACGGAAGUCUGAACCAGCCAAGUAGCGUGCAGGAUGACGGCCCUAUGGGUUGUAAACUGCUUUUGUAUGGGGAUAAAGUUAGGGACGUGUCCCUAUUUGCAGGUACCAUACGAAUAAGGACCGGCUAAUUCCGUGCCAGCAGCCGCGGUAAUACGGAAGGUCCAGGCGUUAUCCGGAUUUAUUGGGUUUAAAGGGAGCGUAGGCUGGAGAUUAAGUGUGUUGUGAAAUGUAGACGCUCAACGUCUGAAUUGCAGCGCAUACUGGUUUCCUUGAGUACGCACAACGUUGGCGGAAUUCGUCGUGUAGCGGUGAAAUGCUUAGAUAUGACGAAGAACUCCGAUUGCGAAGGCAGCUGACGGGAGCGCAACUGACGCUUAAGCUCGAAGGUGCGGGUAUCAAACAGGAUUAGAUACCCUGGUAGUCCGCACAGUAAACGAUGGAUGCCCGCUGUUGGUACCUGGUAUCAGCGGCUAAGCGAAAGCAUUAAGCAUCCCACCUGGGGAGUACGCCGGCAACGGUGAAACUCAAAGGAAUUGACGGGGGCCCGCACAAGCGGAGGAACAUGUGGUUUAA